CCACCACCCAUGAGUUGAGGAGAGCUUGGCACACAUCUCACAGGGCUGGCAGCUAAAUCACCCUUCAGUGGCACAUAGUUCUCUUGGUCAGAACUUUGGGAGCCGGGCUGAGUUCUGUGUCUGGCAUACGAGAGGCCAAAGUCCAGGGGCCAGCCCGCUGGAUGUGCCCGGAGUCUCCUGGGGAGAACCCGCCUGGCUUCCGGAGUCGGCGGGAUCCCGUUCUGGGUGCUGUUCUGCUUCCUUGCUGAGUGUCCUUUGGGGACAGUUUAGGCUUCUGCAGAUGCUAUCAGCAAGGACUGUGGCGUCUUCCUCACAGGAGUCCUCUGUGCCCCGUCCUGGUCCACCAUGGGCAGGAAAUGCCCUGUGUGCAGGGUCCAGCGGCUGGGCCAGGUGAUAGGUGCCAGCUGACUUAGGACUAGCCUACAUCUGCCAACGGCCUUCACAGCUGUCCUUGGACCUGUCUGACCGUCCAGCCAGAGGGCAGAGGUUCUGAAGGACGGGCACUCCCAGCACAGGCCUUCCCAAGACAGAGAGGGAGGCGGACCUGGGGCUGUUCCACUCUGUCCGUGUUUCUAGUGGGCUGGUCUUCCAAGUCUAAAGAAAUCAAUGCAAAAAAUAGGAGGGGAAAUGUCUCAGCUCGCCUUUGGAGCUAAUUCGGAUCUUGACACAGAAUGGACAAGAACCAGAGGUGGUGGCUGCAGCCACCUCUGCGCACACCUGAAGGAGGACAUGCCGACGUGCUUCAGCAAUGCUCCUGGAAACCCCAGGGACGGGCACACGCCUUCUUCCAGAGACCCCGCGCCUCACCACUCCCUACAGGGCAACAAAACAAACAGAAUUAGGACUUUGAAUGGAAGGAUCGACCUUCAGAAAAGUGAAAUGGAAAAUGGACGUUCAAACACACCAUUUCCUCUGGGUCUAGCCCCUGGAUCAAGAUUCCAGCUCCCCAAGACUAAGUCUCAACAUAUGAUAAAAUUAACACUUAUGUGGCA